AUUGAACGCUGGCGGAAUGCUUUACACAUGCAAGUCGAACGGCAGCACGGACUUCGGUCUGGUGGCGAGUGGCGAACGGGUGAGUAAUGUAUCGGAACGUGCCCAGUCGUGGGGGAUAACGUAGUGAAAAUUACGCUAAUACCGCAUACGAUCGUUGUAUGAAAGCGGGGGAUCGCAAGACCUCGCGCGAUUGGAGCGGCCGAUAUCAGAUUAGGUAGUUGGUGGGGUAAAGGCCCACCAAGCCAACGAUCUGUAGCUGGUCUGAGAGGACGACCAGCCACACUGGAACUGAGACACGGUCCAGACUCCUACGGGAGGCAGCAGUGGGGAAUUUUGGACAAUGGGCGAAAGCCUGAUCCAGCCAUUCCGCGUGCAGGAUGAAGGCCCUCGGGUUGUAAACUGCUUUUGUACAGAACGAAAAGGUUUCUACUAAUACUAGGAGCUCAUGACGGUACUGUAAGAAUAAGCACCGGCUAACUACGUGCCAGCCGCCGCCGUAA
rnacentral:rRNA from 1 species